rnacentral:lncRNA from 1 species
UAAAAGAUAAGGAAGAAAAUAUCAGAAAUGGAUGAGGUCAAUAUGGAAGAGGUCGUGGUGGUGGACGAGGUCGAGGCCAUGGACGUGGACGAGGAGGUUUCAACAAUAAUGAAGAAAGAAGAGAAUACCCAAGUCGUGGGAGAGGCAACCAAGGUGCAAGGUACGAUAAAUCUCAAAUCAAAUGUUAUUCUUGUCAAAAAUANNN